rnacentral:lncRNA from 1 species
UCGGCGAUGCGUCCUAGGACGUCGCUAUUAAUCAACCGGGUGAGGGAUGGGCACGUGUUCGAGGAUUGGGGGCGUGACAUCCCGUUUAAGUGGUAUCAGAGUGAAGUUAAGGAAUUGGAGUGAUAAGGUGCGAUGACCUAUGGGAUAGUAGUAGGAUGACCUUUAAAUUCAUGCCGGUGCAUGUCUACGAUAACUUAUUGGUAGAAUUGUUUGUCGUGUGUGAAUCACUCAUGUUCUAAUCCAGUGUGGAUUCGGAAGGCAGGUGUCAGUAAAAGACUGAACCAUGAGUGAGCAGGAGCUAAGAACUCCUAGUUGUCACGCCCCGAACCUCGAGCGCGCCAACAUCCCACUGCGGUCGAUCAAAUGCGACAUUCCCAGGUAGGGUCGCCGACCCCAUUAUUUUAUUAAAUGCGCAAGCGGAACGUAUUAUAAAACCCCUGACAAUAAAAUACGAGAUAGAAAAGCAGGAAACAAAACCACAACAAAACACUUUCAUAAUUCAACAGAAUUACAAACAGAAGUCUAUGGCCAACAGUCUACACAAGACCGGCUCUUAAAAAGGAAUUGUCCUACGACCUACAAGUCGGACACGAUCUCAAAUCCUUAUGCCUUCACUUCUCCAACCCUUCAAGGCCAACCAAAGCUAUCUGGCUGCUCCGUCCAUCAGGGACCUGAAAUGGUUAUUCAAUAACCACUGAGACAACGUCUCAGCAAGUUCAACCCCCUAAACCCCUAUUAGAAAGAAAAUACGCCCAAGGGUGGCCUAGCCACAUCACACAGAAGACUUACCUCGCCUCAGUUCCUUCCUGCAGGUUAGCGCAAUUCAAAUCACUCAAUCACAGAUAGUAAGAGGAACUUAAACAACCAGAAUGUAUUCACUUUCAUAUAUCCAACAAUCGCGGGGGUCCUGAUUAUAAGACUAAAUCGUUAUGACACGUCCCAUUCCAUGCCACACAAUUCCGUCCCAUAAUCCGACACAUCAACACACUCAACAUGCAUUCCAAUUGUUAUUCACUGCCACACAAGGGCAUAGCCUACUCGCAGUUCGGCUAUCUACUGGCAUAUAGCCAGGCAUCGCCUCCCCCCCCAUGGAGCGCGGCUUCGUCAGUACGUCGACGGCAUUCCCGAAGGAGCAUCGUCUCCCCCCCUUGGAGCACGGCUUCGUCUCUACGUCGACGGCAUUCCCGAAGGAGCAUCGAUCCAGUCGGCCCAGCCUCUACUGCGAUCGGCACCACAUCACUCUCUUGACAGCAUUUCUGAAAGAACAAAGGUCCAGUCGGCCUAGCCACUACUGCGACCCGAGCCACGUCACUCUCUCGACGGCAUUCCUAGAAGAACAAAGGUCCAGUCGGCCUAGCCACUACUGCGACCCGAGUCUUUCAACCAGCACACAACAAUUCAAUAAUUAAUUGCACAAAUCAUCGCUCAAUUUGUAAUAUCUAAUCAUCAAAUUCAUAAUCUGAAUACACAGCAGCAAUCAGCACAAAAUUCUGAGAAUUUAGGGUCCCAACUUAAUUUUCGGAAUUUAUUAAAUAAUUAAAAUUUAUUCCGAAAAUUAAUUAAAUAAUAAUAUCCAUAUUUUUCACAAUCCACACUCAAUUUAUAAUAUCCAAUCGUCAAUUUCAAAAUCUGACUACACAGCGGCGACCGGCACGAAAUUCUGAGAAUUUAGGGUCCCGACAAAAUUUUCGGAAUUUAAUAAAUAAUUAAAUUUAUUCCGAAAAUAAUUAAAUAAUAAUAUUUUAAUAAUUUCGAAUAAUAAUAUAUUAUUAAAUUAUUAAAUAAUUUCGAGAUAUUUAAAUAAAUCAAAAGUAAAUUCCUUUAUGUCACAUCAAUGUUUAUAUUAAUAUAAACACCAACUUAAUUUUAAAUUAAACACAAUUUAAGUUAAUCAAGCACAUCAAUAUAAUCUACACUUAAAUAAAUUAAACUAACUACCUAAUAACACUUAAGAUAAACUAAACACACCUAAAGCAUCAUUAACCCUCUAAGCGAGGUUUAGUGAGUUAAACUCACCGGAUUAACGAACCGAGCGGACCAAAACGACGGGGACGCCGAGGAGAACAACUUUCCUCAAAGCGGGCCGAGCAUCCGGGCUCGGGAAGGCGGCCAAAACGGGCCACGAAGCCGCUGCAUACCCAUUUUCUGCAACUUCGGAUCUUGGGCGGAGGAGGGCUGAUUCGAGCCUAAUCGGGCGGAGGAACGGCAAGGGAGAACCGGCGGGGCUUGGACGGGUGAGGCGGCGGCCCGGCGAGGCCUCACGGCGGCGGAGGGAGCUCCGGCAGCUCUUAGAACUCGCGGACAGAGGCAGGCGGAGGCGGCUGGGCGGAGCGGCGAGCGGGUCGACCGCGCGGGCGAGCGACGACGGCGAGGAGCUCCGGCUGGCGGCGGCGACGAGUGGAGCUGCUGGCUUCAACUGGUCUUCGGCUUGCUGGUUCGGGGUUCCCAGAUCUGCUGGGGAUGCGGGCUGAGGCGGAGCGGGGGAGCUGGUCGGCGAGCGAGCGGACGGCGAGGACGGCGUGCGGCGGCGUGAGGCGGUGACGGGCGGACAAGCCACCGGUCGAGCAAGGGGCUGCUGCAAUCCACCUCUUCCAUGGCUGGGCGUGCGAAGAAUGAGAAGAAGAUGGACAGGAG